AUUUUGCAGAAAAAGUUACCGAAGCUUUAAUGGUACUAGAAGUACCAUGUUUCUGAAUGGUAUGUGGUAGGACCUGGGUUUGAACCUGGAACUUUGGGCUCCACAAUGCCCUCCCUAAGAGGAAGACCGUCACUGCUAAGAGUCUCAAUGUCACUGACUCCUUCCCUGACCUGGUCUAGUUAGAAGUGUCAUACACCUGCUUUUCCUCUCUCUUGACCCUUUAUGUCUCUGGCUGUCAGAAAAAGGAUGCUUGAAGUGAUCUUCCUUGGCCUUGAGGCAGGGAGCACCCAGCACCUCUCAGGGAGGUUUAAAGUCAGGGUACUUCUCUGAAAAUGAGAUGGAUGUUGUGCCUUAUUUCCACAUCUUGGUUCCCCUUCUGACUGUUUUGUGACAUCAGACAACCCCCUUAAUCACUCAAUUUCCUCAUUAGACCAUGUGGAGAGCAAUGCCCCCCCCCCCCGACUGUAAGACUGUGAAAGGGCCCAACUCUGGACAAUUUUCUUCGGAUACUCUGGAUGUCAGAUGGGUUUCCUCAGAAGACCUAGGUCCCAUGGAAUGAAUCCUUCCUGACUGAAGGUGCUUGGAGGAUAAGGAUAUUGCUUUGUGGGGAUAUAAGAGAUGGUGGGGAAGUGAGACUUGCCUGAGUGUCUCUCUGCCAUGAAGAAAACUGGCUUUGCUUUAUUGACCAGAGCAGAUGUACUCUUUGAGGAACUCAGCAGGGUAAGUAUGAGUUGGGUAAGAUAUCCUAUCUACCAGCUCCUAGGAUUUUUAUGAGUAGAAGCUCUAACUGCUGACACGUUCCUGGUCAAGAGAAAGCAGAUCCUCACCAUUAUCACCUGUACUUUCUUGGAUUUAUUCCAGUUGCACAUCUCUGAAGUUUUCCUUUUAUUCUGCUUGGACAGCACAUUAGAUGAGAUCAAACGCUGAGAGAGAGACAUAAGCACUGCUUUGGCACUGUUGCUAGAAACUCUUGGGAGAAUGAGCAUUGUGUACCAUUUGCCCAUUGCUUGCCGACUUCAGUAGCAAGAGUCUUCAGAAUGCUCCUGGAUAAACAUAAUCUUUGUGGCCAUACAUUGUUUUAUGAGCUGAGUCUUUAGCUUGGCUGGCUCCUUAAAUGCUGCUGUCUGAUUCUCCAGGCAGCAGAAAACAAGGAAAGAAGAGCUCACCGAGCUUUGUGGAUGGCCAAUUUCACUUGCCAAAGGUGAUGGGGAAUUUACCCUUAUGGAAUUUGCUUAUGACAGAAGAAUUGCUGAUCAACUUAAAUUUCAUUUCUGAUAGAAAGAUGAUGCUGUCUGCAUUUCUUGUACAUUGUUUACAGAAUGUGUGUUUGAUUAUAGGCUAUUUUGAAUAUCCACCAGUCUGAAAGAGUUUCCUGCUGAAAGCAUGACUACUUCCUUACUCAUCGAGUUUCGUUUAUCAUUUAAGGAUGAAUGCCCUCCUAUCCUGUAGCUGAGGUGUGCAAUCAUGGUGUGGACAAUUUUUUUGGAGGGAGUCUGAAGAAACUGUUAUCUAAGAUGGAUUCAUACUGGAAGCAAGAGAGCAAACUGGGAAAAAUGGCCUUAGGCUCUGUGAUUGUCAUUGUGUACAUUAGACAAGACAAUGAAAGUAGAGGAUGAAAUAAGACCUUUCUGGUUGUUCAGAAGGCCUGUGUAGCUUGGCCCCACUUACUGGACAGAGCUUCCUGGAGAGAGUUUUUCGAGAAUGUGGCUUCAUUCCAUAGUAUUGCUUUAUGGUGGCCAUUGGGCAGGGGGAUCUAUCUUCCUGGGAGUUAGUUACAUAAAUAAAGACAUCUCUUUUGUUAUGCUCUUGGAAUCCCUUACCUUUCUCCCCGCAAAAGAUGUAUCUGGCUAUUGAGAAACUAAACAUUCA
rnacentral:lncRNA from 1 species